GCCUGAGGCGUCCCAAACAGGCCUGGCCUGCUCAUGCUUCUAUUUCUUGGGAAUUUUCUCCUGUUUGAUAAGUUCAGAAAACUCCGGAGCAAGCAACCCAUUUCCCAUAAAUGUCCUGUUCUGUGAUUCUGCCCUCCCGGGCCCUUCAACCUAGAGAUGAUGAGGCUGCCCCUUUUAUAAGGGUCUCACAGUCUGGGGACCCCCACCCCGGGCCUCUAGGGGUACAGGAGGGCCAGAGACUGCUGUUUGCCUUGAGCCAGACCCUUGGUCCUGCUAGGCCCCUGCCCUGGCUCACAAUGACCUAGGUCUCCGGAGACCCUUGGGAAUUCCCACCAGACCAGACCUUGCUGAGCAGGGGCCUGUGAUCGGCCAGCCUUUCUCAGUGCGGAAACUGAGAGGAGGGGUCAGGGCUGAGUCCUGAGCAAAGCCCUCUAAGCCUUGGGCCGCCCAUGUGCUGAGGUCUGGGGCAUCUGCCAGCCCCGGUGCACGGAGGCUGCAGGGUGGACAGUGGGGAACGCGCUGGGUGCUGUCGGCCAACAGCAAACCUCGAGGGAUGUCGUGGGGCGGGGCCUGGUGGGGUUUCCCACUCCCCGCCGUGCGCCCGACCUUCGUAGUUGAUCCUCCUGUCCUCGUCCCUGUUGGCCACCCGGAGCAUGGCCGCGGCUUCCCCACCCGCCGGGGGGGGGGGGGGGCAGUGGGCAGGUGACUCAGGAAGCACCUGAGCCGAGGGGGGCAUGGGCUAGUCAGGGAGCUGCUGGGCAGCACCCAAUGCUUCCAGGACGCCCCCUCCCUCCCCGCCUUACAGAUGGGGAAACUGAGGUUGGUCAGGCCCCACCUCCCACCGGGCAGGUAGUGGGGACUGUGGGCAGGGCAGGUAGUGGGGACUGUGGGCAGGGGGCAGGGCUCGCCCCGCCCCGCCCCUUCCGCACUUGGCUUACUCCGUCUCAUUCCAUUCAAUGAAGCCACUGUCGUCCUUGUCUAGGCUCUGGAAGGCCUUACGGGUGACACUGUCCAGCUGGCCCGAGGCCUGGAACUUCUGCAUGUACUCAAAGAACCCGAGGGACGUGCCCAUGGCCAGUGACCCCUUCAUCUGGGAGGAGAAGUCCUCAUCCAUCCUGGCCCUAGGGGUGGACACAGCCAGCUUGUGGGAAGUGUGCCCUGCCCAGCCGCGGGUCCCAUCCCCAGUGAACGCCACAAACCUCAGCAGAUGCAGGAGGGGCACGAGGCUUAAAAGAGCCAGAGGCCAAGGGGUUUGCUCAGCUCUCAGCUCCAGCCUCCCCGUGCCUGUCUCCCCACUGAGAGCCAGGAUGAUUACAGGUCCCCAGCAGACCAGAGUCUGUGUGUCACCAGCUCCUGCCAAGGCCAGCUGCUGCCUAGGCCAGGGUCUGGCGCAAGCAGAGGGCCAGGUGGGUGCCCCCCUGGCAGCGCCUUGUGGCCUGCCAGGC
rnacentral:lncRNA from 1 species